rnacentral:lncRNA from 1 species
UCCAGCUGAAGUUUCUUCUAAACAAUUGCUUUGCCCCCCUUGCAUAGAAGAGUCUUAUUUACUUACCUGACAAGUGAGAUUUCUUAGCCCACCUUUCCCCACUCUCAUUCUUUUACUGCAGCUUCCUACCCACCAAUAUUGAGAAGGAAGUAAAAUGGAAAAGCCAAGAAAGAAUGGUCGAAUCAGGACACCAUAUGUCCAUUCCUGGCUUCUACUCCUUUUUAUAAACACAAGAGUGGAAAGGUUUGGCUUUAUUCGACACCUCAAAGAGGAGAUGCAGGAGGAUGAGCAGUCUGCAGUGCAGGAGGUUGGAGACAAAGAGAAGGUGAUGUCACAGAAACCUACGGGCACAUGGUCCCUUC